GUUUCUUACUUAAAAACAAACAAGUAACUUAUCUAUUGGGAGAUAAGCACAGCUCGGCAAUUAACAAUGGAGCGAAUACUAUUUUUGACCGAGUAACUUGAUAAAAAUUAAACAAGGAAUUGGCUGCGUAGCCCGCAAAGUCAGCCAUUUCUAUCAAAUCAAAGUCGAGUGACGAACGUGUCUGUAGAAGCGCCGCCUCAGCACCUACAAGGCAGAUUCAAAUUUACAUUAAAAACUUUUCAUCAUCAUUUUGAAUUUUAAUCAAACUAUUAUAUAAGAGCAAGAUGCAGAAGACAAACUAUUAGGGCUCAAAAACAGCCAUGGACAGCCGUAGAACUAAAGUGGCAAGACUCUACAGAGACGAAGCUAAUUGCUGCAAAAUAGUUAACUAUAGCUCCAAUACCUCACUACAAUGAAUAUGCGGCUCUUAAAAAACCCAAAGGAUAUCUUCUGCUAGAAAAAGAUUGUGAAAACCAAAGGACAAUAUAUCACUGAAAGCUUCCCCACAAUCAAGCCAAAAAUAUUUGAAUUAGUAAGUUACUUCUGAUCAAGCAAGA